rnacentral:rRNA from 1 species
CCCAGACUCCUACGGGAGGCAGCAGUGGGGAAUAUUGCACAAUGGGGGGAACCCUGAUGCAGCGACGCCGCGUGAGGGAAGAAGGUUUUCGGAUUGUAAACCUCUGUCCUCUGUGACGAUAAUGACGGUAGCAGAGGAGGAAGCCACGGCUAACUACGUGCCAGCAGCCGCGGUAAUACGUAGGGGGCGAGCGUUAUCCGGAUUCACUGGGCGUAAAGGGAGCGCAGGCGGCACGGCAAGUCCGGUGUGAAAGCCCGGGGCCCAACCCCGGGACUGCACUGGAAACUGCCGGGCUGGAGUGUCGGAGGGGCAGGCGGAAUUCCUAGUGUAGCGGUGAAAUGCGUAGAUAUUAGGAGGAACACCGGUGGCGAAGGCGGCCUGCUGGACGACGACUGACGCUGAGGCUCGAAAGCGUGGGGAGCAAACAGGAUUAGAUACCCCCGUACCU